rnacentral:lncRNA from 1 species
AUGGCUAACACUGGCGUGCAACUUUGCUGACCCAGACUGAAGUUUUCGUGUGACACAACACGAACGCAGCUGGCUUAAGCAGCGAGAUCGUCAGACUCAUCCAGCCACUUGGGACUUCCAUUGUAGCCUCCUCUACCAACUCCUCGCAAAUGGGAACCAGCUGGGAAGAUAUGGUUUGGAUGUCUGAACUAACUCAUGAAGGAAACUUCAUAUUAAAACCUGAACCUACUUUAUCAUAUUAAAACUUGAAAUGUCAGAUGAUUUUUAAAAUUCUAACUGCAGAACUGUGUUGCUAGACCACCACUCUACGGUUCCAUGGAGGAUGCUGUGUACAAAAUAUUAACUGAUGGAUGGUUUGAUGAAGAACAUUCCUAACAUUUGUGUGUUAUGAUGACUGCCAUGAAUUUCACAACUAGAACAGAAAGCUAUUGAAGAUAACUAAAAUUCAGCAUUACAUUUGGAAACAAAUAUUGUACCACUACACAAAUAACUGUAAAAAUACAGAUUCUUGUAAAUGCUUUGGAGUAUAUUGAAAAAUCACUAUCGUGCUAAGAACAAGGAAGGAGGCGAGCAGUCUGCUGUUUCCACCACUCCCCUCUGCCUUUACCAAACACAAAAUUAUGCUUUGGAUGCAUUUAUCCUCUGGGUGUUCACCUCUCCAAAAGUUAAACCUUUAUCUUGGAAGACUAAAUGUACAGUUCAUCUGAGGCUGAAACA